GAAUCUGCCUUUAGGUCCGGGACAACCACUGGAAACGGUGGCUAAUACCGGAUGUGCCGCAACGUGAAAGGGGAAACCCGCCUGAAGAUGAGCUCGCGUCUGAUUAGCUAGUUGGUGAGGUAAAGGCUCACCAAGGCGACGAUCAGUAGCUGGUCUGAGAGGAUGACCAGCCACACUGGGACUGAGACACGGCCCAGACUCCUACGGGAGGCAGCAGUGGGGAAUUUUCCGCAAUGGGCGAAAGCCUGACGGAGCAAGACCGCGUGAGGGAAGAAGGCUCUUGGGUCGUAAACCUCUUUUGUCAGGGAAGAACACAAUGACGGUACCUGACGAAUCAGCCUCGGCUAACUCCGUGCCAGCAGCCGCGGUAAUACGGAGGAGGCAAGCGUUAUCCGGAAUUAUUGGGCGUAAAGCGUCCGUAGGUGGCAGUUCAAGUCCAUUGUCAAAGCGUGGAGCUUAACUCCAUAAAGGCAGUGGAAACUGAAUCGCUGGAGUGCGACAGGGGCAAGGGGAAUUCCUAGUGUAGCGGUGAAAUGCGUAGAGAUUAGGAAGAACACCGGUGGCGAAAGCGCUCUACUGGACUGCAACUGACACUCAGGGACGAAAGCUAGGGGAGCG
rnacentral:rRNA from 1 species